AUGCAAAUUCAUCAGUGAAAGGUGGUGGGGAGAGCUCUCCUGACGGAGGCGGAGGAGCAUCCGAAGAUCUGCCGAAUGAAACUCUGGGCCACUAAUGAAGUCCGUGCUAAAUCUAAGUUCUGGUAUUUUCUGAGGAAGCUUAAGAAGGUUAAGAAGAGUAACGAUCAGAUGCUCGCUUUCAAUGAGAUUUUUGAGAAGAACCCGACGACAAUCAAGAACUACGGCAUUUGGUUGCGAUACCAAAGCAGAACUGGGUAUCAUAACAUGUACAAGGAGUACCGUGAUACCACUCUGUAUGGUGCUGUUGAGCAGAUGUACACUGAGAUGGCUUCUCGUCACAGGGUCCGUUCUCAUUGCAUUCAAAUUAUCAAAACUGCCACUAUACCUGCCAAGCUCUGCAAGAGGGAGAGUACCAAACAAUUCCAUAACUCCAAGAUUAAGUUCCCCUUGGUGUUCAGGAAGGUGAGGCCACCAAGCAGGAAGCUCAAGACAACCUACAAGGCAUCUCGACCCAACUUGUUUAUGUAACAUGUUUGGUUUAUAUGGAGAAGUAUUGUUUGAUGUUUGGCUUUUUAGAUCAAUUUUAGAUUUCUUAAAAACAUCUUUGGUUGAUUCUUCGCUAGUUGUGUUGAACUCCAACUUGAUAAAUGUUUUGAAGUUGUACGGAUAUCUUUAUUAGAAAUCAAUAUAU